AGGGAAACAACCCAGACCGCCAGCUAAAGGUCCCAAAGUCGAUGGUUAAGUGGGAAACGAAGUGGGAAGGCUCAGACAGCCAGGAUGUUGGCUUAGAAGACAGCCAUCAUUUAAAGAAAGCGUAAUAGCUCACUGGUCGAGUCGGCCGCGCGGAAGAUGUAAGGGGGCUAAACCAUGCACCGAAGCUGCGGCAGCGACACUAUGUGUUGUUGGGUAGGGGAGCGUUCUGU
rnacentral:rRNA from 1 species